UGCUUAAUACAUGCAAGUCGAGCGAGGUUACUGCGACAGAUCCCUUCGGGGUGAAGUUGCUUUAGCCUAGCGGCGGACGGGUGAGUAACGCGUGGGUAACCUACCCUAAAGUUUGGGAUAACAGCGGGAAACCGCUGCUAAUACCGGAUGCCUUUACCGUGUGGCAUCACAAGGUAAAGAAAGGUGACGCUUUAGGAUGGGCCCGCGUCCCAUUAGCUAGUUGGUGAGGUAACAGCUCACCAAGGCGACGAUGGGUAGCCGGCCUGAGAGGGUGGACGGCCACACUGGGACUGAGACACGGCCCAGACUCCUACGGGAGGCAGCAGUAGGGAAUAUUGCGCAAUGGACGGAAGUCUGACGCAGCGACGCCGCGUGAGCGAUGAAGGCCUUCGGGUCGUAAAGCUCUGUCCUUGGGGAAGAAGGUCUUCGGACUUGACGGUACCCAAGAAGAAAGCCCCGGCUAACUACGUGCCAGCAGCCGCGGUAAUACGUAGGGGGCGAGCGUUGUCCGGAAUUACUGGGCGUAAAGGGUGCGUAGGCGGCCCUUUAAGUCAGAUGUGAAAGCCCGCAGCUUAACUGCGGAAUUGCAUUUGAAACUGGAGGGCUUGAGUGUC
rnacentral:rRNA from 1 species